rnacentral:rRNA from 1 species
AUACGGAGGGUGCAAGCGUUAAUCGGAAUUACUGGGCGUAAAGCGCACGUAGGCUGUUGUGUAAGUCAGGGGUGAAAUCCCACGGCUCAACCGUGGAACUGCCUUUGAUACUGCACGACUUGAAUCCGGGAGAGGGUGGCGGAAUUCCAGGUGUAGGAGUGAAAUCCGUAGAUAUCUGGAGGAACACCAGUGGCGAAGGCGGCCACCUGGACCGGUAUUGACGCUGAGGUGCGAAAGCGGGGGGAGCAAACAGGAUUAGAUACCCGGGUAGUCCACGCCGUAAACGAUGGAUGCUAGAUGUCGGGGGGUUGCCCUCGGUGUCGUAGUUAACGCGUUAAGCAUCCCGCCUGGGGAGUACGGUCGCAAGGCUGAAACUCAAAUGAAUUGACGGGG